rnacentral:rRNA from 1 species
GACGAACGCUGGCGGCGUGCUUAACACAUGCAAGUCGAACGAAGUGGCGAACGGGUGAGUAACGCGUAAGAAACCUGCCAUUCAGAGGGGGACAACAGUUGGAAACGACUGCUAAUACCGCAUACUGAAGGAGGGGAUUGCGUCUGAUUAGAUAGUAGGUGGGGUAACGGCCCACCAAGGCGAUGCUCAGUAGCCGGUCUGAGAGGAGGAACGGCCACAUUGGGACUGAGACACGGCCCAGACUCCUACGGGAGGCAGCAGUGGGGAAUCUUCCGCAAUGGACGAAAGUCUGACGGAGCAACGCCGCGUGAGUGAUGACGGCCUUCGGGUUGUAAAGCUCUGUUAAUCGGGACGCGGUACCGGAAUAGAAAGCCACGGCUAACUACGUGCCAGCCGCCGCGGUAAUUC